rnacentral:rRNA from 1 species
GAUGAACGCUGGCGGCGUGCCUAAUACAUGCAAGUCGAGCGAACAGACGAGGAGCUUGCUCCUCUGACGUUAGCGGCGGACGGGUGAGUAACACGUGGAUAACCUACCUAUAAGACUGGGAUAACUUCGGGAAACCGGAGCUAAUACCGGAUAAUAUAUUGAACCGCAUGGUUCAAUAGUGAAAGACGGUUUUGCUGUCACUUAUAGAUGGAUCCGCGCCGCAUUAGCUAGUUGGUAAGGUAACGGCUUACCAAGGCAAGGAUGCGUAGCCGACCUGAGAGGGUGACCGGCCACCCUGGAACUGGGCCACGGCCCAGACUCUUACGGGAGGCACCAGUAGGGAAUCUUCCGCAAUGGGGGAAAGCCUGCCGGAGCACGGCCGCGUGAGUGAUGAAGGCCUUCGGAUCGUAAAACCUUGUUAUUAGGGAAGAACAAAUUUGUAAGUAACUAUGCACGUAUUGACGGUACCUAAUCAGAAAGCCACGGCUAACUACGUG